rnacentral:rRNA from 1 species
AUUGAACGCUGGCGGCAGGCCUAACACAUGCAAGUCGAGCGGAUGAAGGGAGCUUGCUCCUGGAUUCAGCGGCGGACGGGUGAGAAUUCCCUGGGAUUCGCCUGGGUGUUGGGGAUUACGUUCGGGAACCGGCCCCUAAUCCGCCUACCUCCUUGGGGCGGAAGGUGGGGGUUUUUCGGCCUUACGCCUCUAGAUUAGCCUAGGUCGGAUUUGCUUGUUGGUGGGGUUAAGGCCUACCAAGGCGACGAUUCGUAACUGGUCUGAGAGGAUGAUCAGUCACACUGGAACUGAGACACGGUCCAGACUCCUACGGGAGGCAGCAGUGGGGAAUAUUGGACAAUGGGCGAAAGCAUGAUCCAGCCAUGCCGCGUGUGUGAAGAAGGUCUUCGGAUUGUAAAGCACUUUAAGUUGGGAGGAAGGGCAGUAAGUUAAUACCUUGCUGUUUUGACGUUACCAACAGAAUAAGCACCGGCUAACUUCGUG